GACGAACGCUGGCGGCGUGCUUAACACAUGCAAGUCGAACGAAGUGGCGAACGGGUGAGUAACGCGUAAUCAACCUGCCCUUCAGCGGGGGACAACAGUUGGAAACGUCUGCUAAUCCCGCAUACUGAAGGCGGGGAUUGCGUCUGCUGAGCUAGUUGGAGGGGUACCGGCCCACCAAGACGAUGAUCAGUAGCCGGUCUGAGAGGAGGAACGGCCACAGUGGGACUGAGACACGGCCCAGACUCCUACGGGAGGCAGCAGUGGGGAAUCUUCCGCAAUGGACGAAAGUCUGACGGAGCAACGCCGCGUGAGUGAGGACGGCCUUCGGGUUGUAAAGCUCUGUUAAUCGGGACGCGGUACCGGAAUAGAAAGCCACGGCUAACUACGUGCCAGCAGCCGCGGUAAUUC
rnacentral:rRNA from 1 species